rnacentral:rRNA from 1 species
GAGUUUGAUCGUGGCUCAGAUUGAACGCUGGCGGCAGGCCUAACACAUGCAAGUCGAGCGGUAGAGAGAAGCUUGCUUCUCUUGAGAGCGGCGGACGGGUGAGUAAUGCCUAGGAAUCUGCCUGGUAGUGGGGGAUAACGCUCGGAAACGGACGCUAAUACCGCAUACGUCCUACGGGAGAAAGCAGGGGACCUUCGGGCCUUGCGCUAUCAGAUGAGCCUAGGUCGGAUUAGCUAGUUGGUGAGGUAAUGGCUCACCAAGGCGACGAUCCGUAACUGGUCUGAGAGGAUGAUCAGUCACACUGGAACUGAGACACGGUCCAGACUCCUACGGGAGGCAGCAGUGGGGAAUAUUGGACAAUGGGCGAAAGCCUGAUCCAGCCAUGCCGCGUGUGUGAAGAAGGUCUUCGGAUUGUAAAGCACUUUAAGUUGGGAGGAAGGGCAAGUAAAUUAAUACUUUGCUGUUUUGACGUUACCGACAGAAUAAGCACCGGCUAACUCUGUGCCAGCAC